rnacentral:lncRNA from 1 species
GUUUUUAAGAGUUAUCUGGAUGAAUUUGGGGUUCCAUAACUUGCCCAAUGUAACCUUAUCCAAGAUAACAGUGGAAUCAUUUGUGUAUUUGUCAUCUCUCCUGCUAAAUUAUAAGUCCCUUGUGACCUGGGACUUAUUUUAUUAUCUGAUUGUCUAGCAUUGUGAAUUGUACAUAAAAGGUGCUCAAUAAAUGCCUACUUAUUGAGUGAAUGAAUGAAUGAAUUCUAAUUUAGUCUCCACUGCUACCAUUGCCACUUGAUUACUGUUCCUAAGCAAAUACUAAAACCCUGAGGAAUGUUUUAUGGGAAUCAUUGUAGAUGUGGAAAUCCACAUAGCUGCAUGAUGUGUCUGGCUUCAGAGUGUCCCUGCUGCAAUAUCACAGCAUGUCUUGGACCUCAUUGUGAUGAAGCACUUGGAGCAGUUAAAGCUGCACCUCCGUUGUGCAAACAGACAGUUUCAUUAAGCAUCCAGGCUGAAAAAUGCAGGUGCACUCGCCAGACUUUGCAGAACAAGGAAUGCAGGUUUCAAAUAUCUAUUAAUCACCCAGCUUACAAAAAAGAGAAUCUUCCAGCACUUGGCAAAAUGCCUGGCAUGUCAUAG